rnacentral:rRNA from 1 species
UACGUAGGGGGCAAGCGUUGUCCGGAUUUAUUGGGCGUAAAGAGCGUGUAGGCGGCCAGGUAGGUCUGCUGUGAAAACUCGAGGCUUAACCUCGAGAUGUCGGCGGAAACCAUCUGGCUAGAGUCCGGAAGAGGAGAAUGGAAUUCCCGGUGUAGCGGUGAAAUGCGCAGAUAUCGGGAAGAACACCCGUGGCGAAAGCGGCUCUCUGGAACGGUACUGACGCUGAGACGCGAAAGCGUGGGGAGCGAACAGG